AGAUGUUUAUAAGAUAGGUGUUCAUAAGCAAGAGAAUGUAACUCUAUUUGCCUUUAAAUACUUGUUAUGAAGAAGUUAUAUUUGCAAAGUUCUAAGAAAGCUGCAAUCACUUGCUGUUGCCGGAAACUGCCUUGUGGCCUGGCGUCCUGGGAAUUUGCUUGGCUUUUUGUGGCCGCCAUCCAAAACUGGGAACCACAAGUCAAAG
rnacentral:lncRNA from 1 species